rnacentral:misc_RNA from 1 species
GUAGGUGAACCUGCGGAAGGAUCAUUAUCGAAUGAAAUCAGAGUCGGUUGUCGCUGGCCUCUUCACUGAGGCAUGUGCACGCCUUCUCUAUUCAUCCACACACACCUGUGCACUUGUGAGACGGAUUGACCCUCUCGGGGGACGGUCCGUCUAUUUAUACAUAAACUCCAUUAUAAUAAAUUUGAAUGUAAUUUGAUGUAACGCAUCUUUAAACUAAGUUUCAACAACGGAUCUCUUGGCUCUC